ensembl:lncRNA
GACUGGGCUUCAGAGAGACCCGAACUGGCAGCCUGACCUGCCUCUGAUUUACUGUGAACAAGAGCUGACCACUCAACUGUUCUGGGUGUCCCCAUUCACAGAUAGAACCCGAAGGGCAGAUGGGCUUCCUAGGUGGCUCAGUGGUAAAGAAUCUGCCUGCAAUGCAGGAGACCCAGGUUUAAUUCCUGGGUUGGAAAGAUCCCCUGGAGAAUGGGAUAGGCUACCCACUCCAGUGUUCUUGCCUGGAAAAUCCCAUGGACAGAGGAGACUGGUGGACUACAAUCCAUGGGGUCGAAAACGAGGUGGACACGACUUAACGACCGAGCAGGAGUUUCGCGAAAGAGGGUAAGAACGAAGGACCUGCAUUUGGCCACUCAGCAUCUUUCCCUGUCUUUGCCGCGGGCACCUGCUGCAGUGACUGACCCUCCUGUGCGACCGUGAAUUCCGGUGGUACCUACGGUUUCGCUUCUGUGGUCCCUGACCCUGCACUGUUAACAGGACAGGGCCACGACCACCGUCUCCGGAGAAACUCACCAUGCAUACGUCACUAUCCCCUCGUUGUGGAUGGAGAUCCAGGCUCAGAGAGGGAGAGCUGCUUUCUCGAGGUCACACAGCUUCGGAAGCAGAGUGCAGGCCAUGAUGGCUUUUCCCCCCAACCUCCAUCCAGGGGCACUGUGUCCCAUGCCACCUCUCGCAGGCGCUAGACAGAGCAUUUCCUGGUCUGUGUUUGGAGGCUGCGCCAAGGGCCAGGUGCAUUUCUGACUUGGCUGGAUCACAGGCUUCGGGGCAGGUGACCUUUUCACGGUGGCAUUUCCAGCUUUCCUUGUUCCCCUGAAUUCAGGCCGGGUCUGCCAGCAACAACCAGGUCAGGCAGGAGGAAGUUCUCCAGUUUCAGAGAAGAUAUUCAAGUGCUGGCCACAGAAAGCAGCCAGGCCUGGCCCCUGGGGUCUGGCCACCUGCCUGGUCCUU